UACGAAGGGGGCUAGCGUUGUUCGGAAUUACUGGGCGUAAAGCGCGCGCAGGCGGCUAUCCAAGUCAGUGGUGAAAGCCCGGAGCUCAACUCCGGAACUACCAUUGAAACUGUUUAGCUUGAGGACGAGAGAGGUGAGUGGAAUUCCCAGUGUAGAGGUGAAAUUCGUAGAUAUUGGGAAGAACACCGGUGGCGAAGGCGGCUCACUGGCUCGUUUCUGACGCUCAGGCGCGACAGCGUGGGGAUCAAACAGG
rnacentral:rRNA from 1 species